rnacentral:rRNA from 1 species
UACGUAGGUGGCAAGCGUUGUCCGGAUUUAUUGGGCGUAAAGCGCGCGCAGGCGGUCCUUUAAGUCUGAUGUGAAAUCUUGCGGCUCAACCGCAAGCGGUCAUUGGAAACUGGGGACUUGAGUACAGAAGAGGAAAGCGGAAUUCCACGUGUAGCGGUGAAAUGCGUAGAGAUGUGGAGGAACACCAGUGGCGAAGGCGGCUUUCUGGUCUGUAACUGACGCUGAGGCGCGAAAGCGUGGGGAGCAAACAGG